AAUUUCAUUGAUUAAUGGUUAUUAUGUUCAAACUAAAGUCAAAAUUAUAUCAAAUAACUUAAAAAUCAAGUUUAAAUUAAAAAAUUCAUUCAAACCGAAUUAAAUAGAAAUAAAGCGAUUCGGUUCGGUUUGAUUUUUUAUUUAUUUUAGUUCAAUUCGGUUUCUAAAAUAUAAUAAUUUAAUUAAUUCGAUUUUAAUAAUUCAAUUCGAUUUGAACCAAAUGCUCAGCCCUAGAUGAGAAUUAUGUGCUAUCUCACAACGCCUAGUAAUUGUGAUAAAAGCCAAAGGGUGACACCAGUCACCAAUUGUUGGAUAGUUGUCUCCCUCAUACUAUAGGUGAAGGUUAUCACUAUUGGUGGAGCCCAAGAUUGAACGUCUGGAAUGGUAUUUUUGGAAGUGGAGUUCAGCCUAGCUAUUUAGCAGAUUUUAAACUUCUAUGUCAAGGGUUCUGAUUGAUUUGGCAUUGAACUUUAGCUAGUCACUUCGAACUUUCCAGUUUCCAAUUAUUGUUUUAAUUUUCGGGUAUAAUCACAUGAACUAUCUUAAAAGCCUUCUAAAAAAUUGAAAAUUGAAGACUAUAUGCAGACUCUAUGUUAGUAAUUUCCUUUUUCUUUUCUUUUCUUCUUUUGUCUUUUCCUUCUCCAAGUUUUAAGAAUGCAGUCAUGGUUUUUAUUAUAUUUUGACUUUUAUAUGUCACCUAUUCCACCUUUCUUGGAGUAUAACUGUUGGGAAAUUGUCUCAUUUGUAUAUUAUUGUUCUACAGUUUGAGGGUUACAAAUUUGA
rnacentral:misc_RNA from 1 species